rnacentral:rRNA from 1 species
ACCUCAAAUCGGGUGAGACUACCCGCUGAACUUAAGCAUAUCAAUAAGCGGA